rnacentral:rRNA from 1 species
UGGGGAAUCUUGCACAAUGGGGGCAACCCUGAUGCAGCGACGCCGCGUGAGCGAUGAAGCCCUUCGGGGCGUAAAGCUCUUUCGACCGGAACGAUAAUGACGGUACCGGGAGAAGAAGCUGCGGCUAACUACGUGCCAGCAGCCGCGGUAAUACGUAGGCAGCAAGCGUUGUUCGGAGUUACUGGGCGUAAAGAGUGCGUAGGCGGCGAGCCAAGUUUGGUGUGAAAUCUCCCGGCUUAACCGGGAGGGUGCGCCGAAAACUGGUUGGCUGGGGUAUGGGAGAGGAAAGCGGAAUUCCUGGUGUAGCGGUGAAAUGCGUAGAUAUCAGGAGGAACACCUGCGGUGUAGACAGCUUUCUGGACCAAAACUGACGCUGAGGCACGAAAGCGUGGGUAGCAAACA